rnacentral:rRNA from 1 species
CUACAGGCUUAACACAUGCAAGUCGAGGGGCAGCAUGGUCUUAUCUUGCUAAGGCCGAUGGCGACCGGCGCACGGGUGAGUAACACGUAUCCAACCUGCCGUCUACUCUUGGACAGCCUUCUGAAAGGAAGAUUAAUACAAGAUGGCAUCAUGAGUCCGCAUGUUCACAUGAUUAAAGGUAUUCCGGUAGACGAUGGGGAUGCGUUCCAUUAGAUAGUAGGCGGGGUAACGGCCCACCUAGUCUUCGAUGGAUAGGGGUUCUGAGAGGAAGGUCCCCCACAUUGGAACUGAGACACGGUCCAAACUCCUACGGGAGGCAGCAGUGAGGAAUAUUGGUCAAUGGGCGAGAGCCUGAACCAGCCAAGUAGCGUGAAGGAUGACUGCCCUAUGGGUUGUAAACUUCUUUUAUAAAGGAAUAAAGUCGGGUAUGGAUACCCGUUUGCAUGUACUUUAUGAAUAAGGAUCGGCUAACUCCGUGCCAGCAGCCGCGGUAAUACGGAGGAUCCGAGCGUUAUCCGGAUUUAUUGGGUUUAAAGGGAGCGUAGAUGGAUGUUUAAGUCAGUUGUGAGAGUUUGCGGCUCAACCGUAAAAUUGCAGUUGAUACUGGAUAUCUUGAGUGCAGUUGAGGCAGGCGGAAUUCGUGGUGUAGCGGUGAAAUGCUUAGAUAUCACGAAGAACUCCGAUUGCGAAGGCAGCCUGCUAAGCUGCAACUGACAUUGAGGCUCGAAAGUGUGGGUAUCAAACAGGAUUAGAUACCCUGGUAGUCCACACGGUAAACGAUGAAUACUCGCUGUUUGCGAUAUACUGCAAGCGGCCAAGCGAAAGCGUUAAGUAUUCCACCUGGGGAGUACGCCGGCAACGGUGAAACUCAAAGGAAUUGACGGGGGCCCGCACAAGCGGAGGAACAUGUGGUUUAAUUCGAUGAUACGCGAGGAACCUUACCCGGGCUUAAAUUGCAGAUGAAUUACGGUGAAAGCCGUAAGCCGCAAGGCAUCUGUGAAGGUGCUGCAUGGUUGUCGUCAGCUCGUGCCGUGAGGUGUCGGCUUAAGUGCCAUAACGAGCGCAACCCUUGUUGUCAGUUACUAACAGGUUCCGCUGAGGACUCUGACAAGACUGCCAUCGUAAGAUGUGAGGAAGGUGGGGAUGACGUCAAAUCAGCACGGCCCUUACGUCCGGGGCUACACACGUGUUACAAUGGGGGGUACAGAGGGCCGCUACCACGCGAGUGGAUGCCAAUCCCCAAAACCUCUCUCAGUUCGGACUGGAGUCUGCAACCCGACUCCACGAAGCUGGAUUCGCUAGUAAUCGCGCAUCAGCCACGGCGCGGUGAAUACGUUCCCGGGCCUUGUACACACCGCCCGUCAAGCCAUGGGAGCCGGGGGUACCUGAAGUGCGUAACCGCGAGGAGCGCCCUAGGGUAAAACUGGUGACUG